rnacentral:lncRNA from 1 species
GGAGUCUGAUUCCUGGUUCCCAUUGCCCUGCAUCAAUCUUCAUUUCCUCCCCAUUACCAUUCCUCACCCCAAUUCAGUAGCCUGUGGCAAGAUGACAUUACUGCCCCUCAGUAAAUUCUGUGGGGGGUGGGGGGGCGGGGGGGCCUCUACAUUUGCUGUCUUUGCUCUCAGUGUUUGUAAUCCCAGCAAGCUCCUCAGUGUAACAAUGGCAUCUGUAAUGUCACAGCAGUGUGGCAGGUUCUGAGGGGACAACUGCCUGAAGAAAAGAGCCAGCCACAAGGAAUGGUAAGCGCAAGCUUCUGAGACGUCAGAACUGGAGAAAAAUAAGGAGAGACACAUUUCCUUGAGAGCCGGGAGUGCACAGUAUGGGCGUGUCGGGAGAGAUCACAGCCUCAGCUGCUACAAAUCAUAAUGCCGUCCAUCUUGUUUUUUGAGGGGAAUGGCUUUACACAGUGCACAUGAGAUUCUCCCUACACCAGAAAUGGAUGCCGAGAUGGGAAGAGGAUUAACAGGAUUCUCUGACAUUUUUCUCAGUUAGAUCAUCUGCAAUUAACUUAGCAACACCAGGUGACUACAGUAGGAUGGGCCAAGAAGCACACACCCGGAGUCUAACAACCAGAAAAUACAAAUAAACUUAAGGACA